UAGUACGGCGAGUGAAGCGGGAUGAGCUCAAGCUUAAAAUCUCCGUGCAAAUUUUGCAUGGCGAAUUGUAGUCUAUAGAGGCGUGAUUAGCGUAGGCACUUGGGGCAAGUUCCUUGGAAGAGGACAGCAUUGAGGGUGAUACUCCCGUUCCCUCCCGAGUUGCUUAUGCGUAUAAUCCGUUUUCUUUGAGUCGCGUUGUUUGAGAAUGCAGCGCAAAGUAGGUGGUAAAUUCCAUCUAAAGCUAAAUAUUGGUGCGAGACCGAUAGCAAACAAGUACCGUGAGGGAAAGAUGAAAAGAACUUUGAAAAGAGAGUUAAAGAGUACCUGAAACUGCUGAAAGGGAACCAAAUCGUUUCCAGUAUCUAUAAUCCGCGGUAUAUUUCAUUGGCGAAUGUGUGCGUGCAUGUACUAUGGCAGCGGCUUUUUGCUGCGCCUUGUGUGUGUUUCGCAUUUUCUCGCUGGUGCCCUGUACUGUGGUGGGACGUCAAUGUCGGUUCGUAUGCUGCGGGAAAUGACUGCCGAGGAGGUAGGGCGAACGCUUGCGUUUGUCUGUUACAUCUGGGCGGACUUAGUAGUCGUGGUUGGGACUGAGGUGCCUAUAAUGUGCUUAUGAGUGGGAUCGAAUCUCCAUGUGCGCCGUGUGCGGAUAGCUUGCUAUGCGUGUGUAGCUGUGUGUGGAUUGAGUCGAGACGUAACUUAUUGCCGUUCGGGACGUUGACGAAAUGGAGCGAUUUGACCCGUCUG
rnacentral:rRNA from 1 species